rnacentral:rRNA from 1 species
UCGGGAAUUUUGGGCAAUGGGGGAAACCCUGACCCAGCAACGCCGCGUGAAGGAUGAAGUAUUUCGGUAUGUAAACUUCGAAAGAAUAGGAAGAAUAAAUGACGGUACUAUUUAUAAGGUCCGGCUAACUACGUGCCAGCAGCCGCGGUAAUACGUAGGGACCAAGCGUUGUUCGGAUUUACUGGGCGUAAAGGGCGCGUAGGCGGCAUGACAAGUCACUUGUGAAAUCUCUGGGCUUAACCCAGAACGGCCAAGUGAUACUGUCGCGCUAGAGUGCAGAAGGGGCAAUCGGAAUUCUUGGUGUAGCGGUGAAAUGCGUAGAUAUCAAGAGGAACACCUGAGGUGAAGACGGGUUGCUGGGCUGACACUGACGCUCAUGCACGAAAGCGUGGGGAGCAAACAGGAUUAGAUACCCACGUAGUCCCUGAGCGGGCUGGCAAGGCGCAU